GUGUUACAAUAUGGGUAUGCUCUCAUUAACUCCUUAAAUCACUCACAUGCUUCAAAAAGCAAUUCACCGUCCAUCUGCCUAAAACAGGUAAUCUGGUUCCUCAAUUG